rnacentral:rRNA from 1 species
GAUGUGAAAUGCCCGGGCUNACUGGAACUGCAUUGUGACUGCAUGGCUAGAGNNUGUUCAGAGGGGGUAGAAUUCACGUGUAGCAGUGAAAUGCGUAGAGAUGUGGAGGAAUACCGAUGCGAAGGCAGCCCCUGGGAUAACACUGACGCUCAUGCACGAAAGCGUGGGGAGCAAACAGGAUUAGAUACCUGGUAGUCACGCCCUAAACGAUGUCUACUAGUUGUCGGGUCUUAAUUGACUUGGUAACGCAGCUAACGCGUGAAGUAGACCGCCUGGGGAGUACGGUCGCAAGAUUAAAACUCAAAGGAAUUGACGGGGACCCGCACAAGCGGUGGAUGAUGUGGAUUAAUUCGAUGCAACGCGAAAAACCUUACCUACCCUUGACAUGGCUGGAAUCCUUAAGAGAUUAGGGAGUGCUCGCAAGAGAACCAGUACACAGGUGCUGCAUGGCUGUCGUCAGCUCGUGUCGUGAGAUGUUGGGUUAAGUCCCGCAACGAGCGCAACCCUUGUCAUUAGUUGCUACGAAAGGGCACUCUAAUGAGACUGCCGGUGACAAACCGGAGGAAGGUGGGGAUGACGUCAAGUCCUCAUGGCCCUUAUGGGUAGGGCUUCACACGUCAUACAAUGGUACAUACAGAGGGCCGCCAACCCGCGAGGGGGAGCUAAUCCCAGAAAGUGUAUCGUAGUCCGGAUUGUAGUCUGCAACUCGACUGCAUGAAGUUGGAAUCGCUAGUAAUCGCGGAUCAGCAUGUCGCGGUGAAUACGUUCCCGGGUCUUGUACACACCGCCCGUCACACCAUGGGAGCGGGUUUCACCAGAAGUAGGUAGCUUAACCGCAAGGAGGGCGCUUACCACGGUGGGAUUCGUG